rnacentral:rRNA from 1 species
GAUGAACGCUGGCGGCGUGCCUAAUACAUGCCAGUCGAGCGAACAGACGAGGAGCUUGCUCCUCUGACGUUAGCGGCGGACGGGUGAGUAACACGUGGAUAACCUACCUAUAAGACUGGGAUAACUUCGGGAAACCGGAGCUAAUACCGGAUAACAUGUUGAACCGCAUGGUUUAACAGUGAAAGACGGUCUUGCUGUCACUUAUAGAUGGAUCCGCGCCGCAUUAGCUAGUUGGUAAGGUAACGGCUUACCAAGGCAACGAUGCGUAGCCGACCUGAGAAGGUGAUCGGCCACACUGGAACUGAGGCACGGUCCAGACUCCUACGGGAGGCAGCAGUAGGGAAUCUUCCGCAAUGGGCGAAAGCCUGACGGAGCAACGCCGCGUGAGUGAAGAAGGUCUUCGGAUCGUAAAACUCUGUUAUUAGGGAAGAACAAAUGUGUAAGUAACUAUGCACGUCUUGACGGUACCUAAUCAGAAAGCCACGGCUAACUACGU